CUGUUCUUUACUUUAAUGGCUGGUAAUAAGCAUUAUUUGAACUGAAUAAUUCCACUGAAUUGACAGACGGUGAGAAAUGCAAUACAAUCUGAGGGAGAAAGAUGCCAAAUGUUGGGGACUACAAUUCAGCACCAUGGACAGUGUUCAUCUUGACUCGUCCUCAGGCUAAAGUGAGUGUUUCGUGAGAGGGAAGCUGCUGCUGGGAGGCCCAACUGUCAGUCCAGAUCCAAAGUGGAGGCUGUGAUUACAGGUGUACGCACACACAACAGUUAACACAUAAACAAACACACACACCCGGGAAUAAAGCAGUGGCAUUCUCAGUGUGGCUGUGGCCAGCAGUUGCCAUAGGCUACGGAAACACACACACAUGCACACCAAGCUGCUUCUAUGGACGUAAUGAUGGUACGCCGAUGUUUGUUCUGAUGAGUUUACUUUUCUGUUUGUGGUGAUUAGUAUUUGAUCCCUGCCAUAAACUGGAGUAGUUAAUAUGUGUGUGUGUCUGUGUGAUAUCGGUGUCGUGUAAUUUGUCAGUGUGAGCGUGACACAAGAUGCAAGACGUCCAAUAAGUCUAUCUACGUGGGUUAUACAUGUUUGUGUUUUUAGUGUGUGAGUGUCUACUUUAUAUUUUGAUUU